ensembl:lncRNA
GUUAGGUUUAGGGUUAGGGUUAGGGUUAGGGUUAGGGUUAGGGUUAGGGUUAGGGUAGGGUUAGGGUUAGGGUUAGUGUUAGGGUUAGGGUUAGGGUUAGGGUUAGGGUUAGGGUUAGGGUUAGGGUUAGGGUUAGGGUUAGGGUUAGGGUUAGGGUUAGGGUUAGGGUUAGGGUUAGGGUUAGGGUUAGGGUUAGGGUUAGGGUUAGGGUUAGGGUUAGGGUUAGGGUUAGGGUUAGGGUUAGGGGUUAGGGUUAGGGUUAGGGUUAGGGGUAGGGUUAGGGUUAGGGUUAGGGUUAGGGUUAGGUGUAGGGUUAGGGUUAGGGUUUGGGUUAGGGUUAGGGUUAGGGUAGGGUUAGGGUUACGGUUAUGGUUAGGGUUAGGGUAAGAGUUAGAUUUCGGAUUUGGGUUAAGGUGUGGGUGAGGGUAAGGCUUAGGUUUACGGUUAGGGUUUGGGUUACGCUAACGGUUAGUUUUGGGAUUUGUGUUAGGAUAAUUGUUACGAUUGGGGUAGUGUUAGGGUUAGGGUAGGGUUAGUGUUAGUGUUAGGCUUAGGGUAAGUUUAGGAUAAGGGUUUUGGUUAGGGUUAUGGUUAGGGUUUGUCUUACGGUUAGGGUUAGGGGUCGAAAAAUAGGGUUAGAGUUAUGUUUGUGGUAGUGUUAGGCUUAGGGUUAGGGUUAGUGUUAAGGAUAGGAUUAAAGUAAGUUUAGGGUUAGGGUUAGGGUUAGGGUUAGGGUUAGGGUUACGGUUUGGGUUAGGGUUAGGGUUAGGGUUAGCAUUAGGUUCAGGGUUAGGGUUAGGUUUAGGGCUACGGUUAGGGUUAGUGUAGGGUUAGGGAUAGGGUUAGGGUUAGGGUUUGGGUUAGUGUUAGGGUUAGGGUUAGGGUUAGGGUUAGGGUUAGGGUUAGGGUUAGGGUUAGGGUAGGGUUAGGGUUAGGGUUAGGGUUAGGGUUAGGGUUAGGGUUAGGGUUAGGGUAGGUAUAGGGUUAGGGUUAGGGUUAGGGUUAGGGUUAGGGUUAGGGUUAGGGUUAGGGUUAGGGUUAGGGUUAUGGUUACGCUUAGGGUGAGGAUAAGGCUUAGGUUUACAUUUUUGGUAGGGUUAGGCUUAGGGUAAGGGUUAGUGUUAGGGUUAGGGAUAAGUAUGUUUUGGGAAAGGGUCGGGUUAGAGUUAGCGCUAGGGUUAGGGUUAGGAUUAGCGUUAG